rnacentral:rRNA from 1 species
CAUGCAGGCGGUUACAUAAGUCAGGUGUGAAAUCCCUGAGCUUAACUUAGGAAUUGCAUUCGAUACUGGAAAGCUAGAGUAUGGGAGAGGAUGGUAGAAUUCCAGGUGUAGCGGUGAAAUGCGUAGAGAUCUGGAGGAAUACCGAUGGCGAAGGCAGCCAUCUGGCCUAAUACUGACGCUGAGGUACGAAAGCAUGGGGAGCAAACAGGAUUAGAUACCCCUGUA